AUUGAACGCUGGCGGCAGGCCUAACACAUGCAAGUCGAGCGGAGCGGCGGACGGGUGAGUAAUGCCUAGGAAUCUGCCUGGUAGUGGGGGAUAACGUCCGGAAACGGGCGCUAAUACCGCAUACUAUCAGAUGAGCCUAGGUCGGAUUAGCUAGUUGGUGGGGGAAAGGCCUACCACGGAGACGAUCCGUAACUGGUCUGAGAGUAUGAUCAGUCACACUGGAACGGAGACACGGUCCAGACUCCUACGGGAGGAAGCAGUGGGGAAUAUUGGACAAUGGGCGAAAGCCUGAUCCAGCCAUGCCGCGUGUGUGAAGAAGGUCUUCGGGUUGUAAAGCACUUUCAGCGGGGAGGCGUGACCCGCAGAAGAAGCACCGGCUAACUCCGUGCCAGCAGCCGCGGUAAUUC
rnacentral:rRNA from 1 species